UACGUAGGCAGCAAGCGUUGUUCGGAGUUACUGGGCGUAAAGGGUGCGUAGGCGGUCCUAUAAGUAUGGUGUGAAAUCUCCCGGCUUAACUGGGAGGGUGCGCUAUAGACUGUGGGACUAGAGUGUGGGAGAGGAAAGUGGAAUUCCUGGUGUAGCGGUGAAAUGCGUAGAUAUCAGGAGGAACACCGGUGGUGUAAACGGCUUUCUGGACCAUAAACUGACGCUGGAGGCACGAAAGCGUGGGUAGCAAACAGG
rnacentral:rRNA from 1 species